GCGGAUGGCUGGAUGACUGCGGGGCGAAAGCCGCGAGGAAAGUCCGGACUCCAUAAGGCAAUGGUGCCGGGUAACGCCCGGCGGGGGUAACCCCAGGGAAAGCGCCACAGAGAACAGACUGCCGUCUUCGGGCGGUAACGGUGAAAAGGUGCGGUAAGAGCGCACCGCGGGACUGGCAACAGGACCGGCACGGCAAGCCCCACCAGGAGCAAUGCCAAAUAGGGGCCUUAUGUGUGCAAACACGAGGGACGUCUUAGCCCGCAAGGCCCGGGUUGGCAGCUUUAGUGUACUGGUAACAGUACACAUAGAUGAAUGGUCAUCCAGUGGUGGGGAAACCCGCCAUGGACAAGAUCCGGCUUACAGGCCAUCCGCGCAU
rnacentral:RNase_P_RNA from 1 species